UACGUAGGGAGCAAGCGUUGUCCGGAAUCAUUGGGCGUAAAGAGCGUGUAGGCGGUUCGAUAAGUCUGGUGUGAAAUCUUUCGGCUUAACCGGAAGCGGUCACUGGAAACUGUCGGACUUGAGUCCGGAAGAGGAGUGUGGAAUUCCUGGUGUAGCGGUGGAAUGCGCAGAUAUCAGGAGGAACACCUAUGGCGAAGGCAGCACUCUGGUACGUGACUGACGCUGAGACGCGAAAGCGUGGGGAGCAAACAGG
rnacentral:rRNA from 1 species